ACGGCUCAUCUCUAGACGUGGUUAGCGAGAUUGCCUCGUAUUGUAGUUCAGGGAACAACAAUUGCCGCGUCCGCCUCCACGUGUAGGCAGGAUAUCCGGGUGCGAUCAAUAGGUGCUCUAGGAUAACCGAGUCAAACUGUAUGCAAAUGUUCUCCAUAAAAACUGAAUAUUCACAUCAGCGAAUAUCCUCCGCAAGAGAACGCUCAAGUGCAAUUAUACCACAUAAGUAAAAAGAAAAUAAGUGUGGCUUGUGGGUUUGUGGGUAGAGACGAAACAUUAGGGGCGCAGAACCAAGAAGUGAGUACAAAGAGAGAGCGAAGGACGCGAGGAGGAGAACUAAGAGAAGGAGGAAGGAGUGACGGACACCAGAGAGGUUUUUGCGUGAUAGCUCUUCGUCCAUCGCCUGUCUGGGAGGAGCAAGAAAUAAGGUGGUGAUGACUGAUGUUUAGGAUCUGUUUGCCUGUCUUCUGUCUGCGAGGAACUUGGAGAUAACGCAGUGCUGUCUGAUGGUACUAGUGGUGGGCGGUAAUCCCAGAGCCUGACAGAUGACUAGCGGUGAAGCGUGUCCUAUUUACGUGACCACAGGUAUGAGGGGAGCACCUUCGCCCCUCCGUCAGAAAAGUGCGGACGCUCAUGAAGUGUCGUGAGUCAUGGACAAGAGGACUGAAAAAGACAUGCUUCUCCUCGGAAAGAAUGUUGGGUGAUAGGACGUGGUGACAUAUAGUGAUGAGAGUGAUGCCAUUGCUACCAAGAAUGUGGAGAACAACAUCAACAUCAACAAUAACAACAGCAACAACAACAAGAACAAUAACGACAACAACAUUAACAGCAAGAGCAAUAUAAUGAUGAUGGUGAUGAUUAUGAUG
rnacentral:lncRNA from 1 species